rnacentral:rRNA from 1 species
AGUUUGAUUCGGCUCAGAUUGAACGCUUAAGGGAUGCUUUACACAUGCAAGUCGAAACGGCAGCACGGACUUCGGUCUGGUGGCGAGUGCAAGGAACGGCAGUAAUGUAUCGGAACGUGCCUAGUGCAAGGGGAUAACUACGCGAAAGCGUGGCUAAUACCGCAUACACCCUUCGGGGGAAAGCGGGGACCUUCGGGCCUCGCACUAGAGCGGCCGAUAUCGGAUUACAGGGUAACGGCUCACCAAGGCGACGAUCCGUAGCUGUUUGAGGACGACCAGCCACACUGGGACUGAGACACGGCCCAGAUUCACGCUGGAGGCAGCAGGGGGAAUUUUAAUGGGGGAAACCCUGAUCCAGCCAUCCCGCGUGUGCGAUGAAGGCCUUCGGGUUGUAAAGCACUUUGGCAGGAGAAAGAAACGGCACGGGAUAAUACCCCGUGCAUUGACGGUACCUGCAGAAUAAGCACCGGCUAACUACGCCAGCAGCCGCGGUAAUACGUAGGGUGCAUAAUCGGAAUUACUGGGCGUAAAGCGUGCGUGCGCGGUUCGGAAAGAAAGAUGAAAUCCCAGAGCUUAACUUUGAACUGCAUUUUAACUACCGAGCUAGAGUGUGUCAGAGGGAGGUGGAAUCUGCGUGUAGCAGUGAAAUGCGUAGAUAGUGGAGGAACACCGAUGGCGAAGGCAGCCUCCUGGGAUAACACUGACGCUCAUGCACGAAAGCGUGGGGAGCAAACAGGAUUAGAUACCCUGGUAGUCCACGCCCUAAACGAUGUCAACUUCAGCUGUUGGGGCCUUCGGGCUUUGCAGGCGCAGCUAAGAAGUUGACCGCCUGGGAGUACGGUCGCAAGAUUAAAACCCGUGCGAAUUGACGGGGACCCGCACAAGCGCGGUGGAUGAUGUGGAUCUGAUGCAACGCGAAAACCUUACCUACCCUUGAUGUCUGGAAUCCCGAAGGAGAUUUGGGAGUGUCAAAAAGAGAACCGGAACACAGGUGCUGAUGGCUGUCGUCAGCUCUCGUGUCGAGAUGUUGGGUUAAGUCCCGCAACGAGCGCAACCGGUCAUUAGCUGCUACGAAAGGGCACUCUAUCGAGACUGCCGGUGACAAACCGGAGGAAGGUGGGGAUGACGUCAAGUCCUCAUGGCCCCCAUGGGUAGGGCUUCACACGUCAUACACGGUCGGGACAGGGUCGCCAACCCGCGAGGGGAGCCAAUCCCAGAAACCCGAUCGUAGUCCGAUCGCAGUCUGCAACUCGACUGCGUGAAGUCGGAAUCGCUAGUAAUCGCGGAUCAGCAUGUCGCGGUGAAUACGUUCCCGGUCUGUACACACCGCCCGUCACACCAUGGGAGUGGGUUUUACCAGAAGUAGUUAGCCUAACCGUAAGAGGGCGAUUACCACGGUAGGAUUCAUGACUGGGGUGGAAGUCGUAACAAGGUAA